rnacentral:lncRNA from 1 species
GAAACCACGCAAGCUUGGCUCUUUGUUCCAUACUCAUCUGAAAUUUCUUGUGAACUGGAGCAUGAUAUAUAGGCUUAGGAUGCAUCAGGAAAGAAGCUUCUACUAUUGUACAUGCCCAACAAGCUCUUAUUUGUUAAGGCGCUAGAAGAUUAGAACUUACUCGGUCUAGUUUCAAAUUAACAGAUUGGAUGAUCUAAGGAUAGUGUAGAAGCUUUUUGUUCAAAAUCACAAUAAAGAUAUAUGAUCAAAACCUUAAUAAUUUGUCUUUGUUAUUACAAAUACUGGAACACAGUCAUCAGUUAUAGCCAACACUCAUCACUGUCGGUUCGGCGGAUAGUUAUUGAGUAUAGUAACUAUCGGUCUAUGCCAGGUUAAUUCGGGCAGUCCGGCAAUUUUGCCUGGUAUCACCAAUUGUCCAUGCGAACAGAAAAAGUUCGGUACUUGGGCUUCUCUAUAUACUAUAUACUAGUUAGCGUGCACGUGCCCUUGCAACAAUAUCGAAUGGGAGUACCUAUACAUCUUUCGAAAGAUUUUUAUGAUCGUAUCACACAGAUUUUUAAUCUUUGGAUUAAAAUCCGAUAGAUAUAUGUAACAGAAAAAACUUAACCUUUACCAUAACAAUAGAGAGAAACAAAUCGAUUAUUUUUUUUCUAAAAAACAAACAAUCAAAUAAUAUAUCACCGAUAAUUGUUUACGGCCCAUUGCCAUCUCCGCCUAAUGAACGCCUUGCAUGUUGGCCCCAAGCCACACUCUUUUUUAGGCAGAGAGAAUUCAGUUGUUUUAUUUAGUAUUUAUAAUUAUCCAAAAUGGUGCUACUGUUUGUUAAUGGUGGUGCAAACAAUUGCUUUGCUGGUCCAGUUUAAAAUCGGAUGAUUAACGGAAGCAUUAGCUAGUGGUGACAGGGAUAAAUCUCCGAGAAAAAUGGCAUAAAGCAACAAUACUCGAAGAGGCUCGCAUUGAUGCUAUGUAAGAGAAAAUUUGAUUAUGAAAUACAAGUUACAAAUUAUCAUAGUCAUGUAACUGUUUGCUAGUGUUUAUGCAAAUGGUCAUUUCUUUCAUUACGGUUUGAUUAGAUAAUUACUAACAGCAUCAUUAGGUUGCUAAAUUGGAUGGUUGCUAACAACAUCAUUAGGUUGCUGUGAUAAUAUGAUCGUUCUGCAAGAAAAGGUUGCAGUUAUAGUGAUGAAGUUGUGAGCCAAAAGGAAGAAUACAGGCACAGUGACAUCUGUCACGCUGAUGGUACUGAAGUACGCAAAUCUGUUUACAAAUUGUAGCAAAUUUUUGUCAUUUUUCAGUUGAGGUAGAUGUGAGAGGCGACGUCUUGAAUGAAUGAGCUAGUUGAAGCUCUAAAGCAGCCUGGUUUGAGCACCUGCAAACAAAACCACACCUCCAGCUAUCAAUCAAUCAGCUUCUGGACUUGCCAAAAUUACUAUAUGAAAAUCUUGAAAUGGUC